rnacentral:miRNA from 1 species
UCAAAACUGAGGGGCAUUUUC